UGAGUAACCUGCCCUUAACUCUGGGAUAAGCCUGGGAAACUGGGUCUAAUACCGGAUAUGACUCUUCAUCGCAUGGUGGGGGGUGGAAAGCUUUAUUGUGGUUUUGGAUGGACUCGCGGCCUAUCAACUUGUUGGUGAGGUAAUGGCUUACCAAGGCGACGACGGGUANCUGGUCUGAGAGGAUGAUCAGCCACAUUGGGACUGAGACACGGCCCAGACCUCCGUACGGGAGGNAG
rnacentral:rRNA from 1 species